CUUAGCUCAAUGGAUAGAGCGUCGGACUUCGAAUCCGCAGGUUGCAGGUUCGAGUCCUGCAGGG
rnacentral:tRNA from 1 species